UUACAAUUAGUGUGCUUAUUUCAGUUUGUUAUAAUAGAAAAUUCCCUUUAUAAUUUCAAGCAAACGCUAGUGCAUGUUUGAUGCUGAAUGUUUGUAAGAAGCUUGUUUGUUUUAGAUCUUUCAACCUAGGAUUGAAGUAUGCAAAGAGCUGCACCUAUUAUAAGAAACCUGAGUCUGUGAAACAAGUCUGAGAACAUCUUGGAAGAUACCAGCUCUCAGAUGUUGAGUCAUGUUUGAUUGCUAAUGCUCACCCAGAAACAGUUGAAGAAGUGUACUCUUUCGUGCGAUCCUUUAAGACUUGCAGCACCGAAGCUGACCAAAGAUGGAUCAUGACUGAGAUCGCAUUAAGAAGGUUUUUUGGUAUUGAAACUGCACAUUUGUAUAUUUCAUGUAUAGCUUUCAUAUCCUGAACAGUGAAAGGGAUGGUUUCUCUUAGUCUAAACUCUAAACCCAUACCAUCCCAAUGGACGGUCCAGAUCAGGUUUUGUUGUGUGUAAGACUGGGACCAUUUAGAUUUCUCUUAGUCUAAACUCUAAACCCAUACCAUCUCAAUGGACGGUCCAGAUCAGGUUUUGUUGUGUGUAAGACCGGGACCAUUUAGAUCUUAAGCUUUAUCAAAUAGCUGAUGCUGAUGGCAAGCAUUGCCCCAACAGAUGGCUGUUCCUUUAUCCAGAGAUAUGUUGAAUUGCUUGAUGGAUUCUUAUUUUUUUUGUAUUACAUACAUCAUUUGUGAUAUAUGAGAACACAGGUGUUUAUGCCUUAAA